UUGAACGCUGGCGGCAGGCCUAACACAUGCAAGUCGAGCGGUAGCACAGAGAAGCUUGCUUCUUGGGUGACAAGCGGCGGACGGGUGAGUAACGCGUAGGAAUCUACCUAAUAGUGGGGGAUAGCCCAGGGAAACUUGGAUUAAUACCGCAUACGCCCUACGGGGAAAGCGGGGGGGGAUCUUCGGACCUCGUGCUAUUAGAUGAGCCUGCGUAAGAUUAGCUAGUUGGUGAGGUAAAGGCUCACCAAGGCGACGAUCUUUAGCUGGUCUGAGAGGAUGAUCAGCCACACUGGGACUGAGACACGGCCCAGACUCCUACGGGAGGCAGCAGUGGGGAAUAUUGGACAAUGGGGGCAACCCUGAUCCAGCCAUGCCGCGUGUGUGAAGAAGGCCUUCGGGUUGUAAAGCACUUUCAGAUGUGAGGAAAGGUUGCAGAUUAAUACUCUGCAGCUGUGACGUUAACAUCAGAAGAAGGACCGGCUAACUCCGUG
rnacentral:rRNA from 1 species